CGGCUCCUCUCUUCCACACACUCAGACACAGCGCUGUAUUCACAUCAGGACUCUGCAUUCCCAUCACAUAUGCGCUUGCGGUUGCCUCGGAGAUGAAUGGAAAGCCGGAAUGCUACAUUACAUGUGGCUGGGAGCUCAUUGCCAGGUAUGUGCAAGCCAAGCAACUGCCUUUGAACGGAGGGAAUGCUAACGGAUAGCUCUAUCCAGAUGAAACUGAGCAGUGUGAGGAAUUGGCCAAUGGCACAGGGGGUAACACGCAAAGAUAUGAACACAAGUCACGCUGAAUCUUGUUAAAUUUAUCUCACCAAUAUGCUUCCAUCUACACAGUACCUUCUGAACUUGUAAAUAAUAAUAAUAAUAAUAAUAAUAAUAAUAAUAUGCAUGUGCUCUAAUUUAAAGAAAUGUCUAUAUGAAAGAUAUAUCAGUGUGAGGAAUUAGGCCGAAUAGGCGACAGGGGGUAACGAACGCAAAGAUAUGAACACAAGUCACGCUGAAUCUUGUUAAAUUUAUCUCACCAAUAUGCUUCCAUCUACACAGUACCUUCUGAACUUGUAAAUAAUAAUAAUAAUAAUAAUAAUAAUAAUAAUAUGCAUGUGCUCUAAUUUAAAGAAAUGUCUAUAUGAAAGAUAUAUCGAUGUCCAGGUGCUUAAAUGUAUUUAUUGAAACCUGAUUUUUUUACAUAACAGCAAGAAGAAUGAACAUGACUGAAAUAAUGAAGUGCUAAAUUUAGCCAUUGUGCAGUGAGAAACUGUUGGCUUACAACUUUUUUAUUUAACAUUAUUAUCAUUUUAUUUUGAUAUUAUCAUAUUAAUUUCUGUAAUUAUCCUACAUGGUGCGAUGUUUAAGAUU
rnacentral:lncRNA from 1 species